AACUGCAAAGCUAUUGAGAAGGGAAAGUUAAUAGAGAGACUCGUUUAUUCGCAACAUCGAGCGAGAGAGAGAGAGAGAGAGAGAGAGAUCAGCUUCUGCUUUUAGAGAGAGAAACUAAAAAUCGAUGCGUUUGUGGCGUUAGAUUUGACACACACUCAUUAAUCGAACAUCAAAACAUCUCUGUUCUAAUUCAUAUAUCUCAAUUCUUUCAGAUUUUUAGGGUUUCUGAUCUGAUCGUAUCUAGCCGUUAAAUUUACGUUUUCGUUUUGAAAUUAGCCAUAGAUUUUGAUUUUUUUGGAUCAGAGUAACAGUUCGAAUUGGCAACUGAGUAGAGUAUUGAUUCAUUGAUCGAUCGAUUUCUAGGGUUUCCUUCUGGUUCACUUAAUUGAUUGAUUAGGGUUGUCCAUAAGAAUGAACGAUCAGGCACAGAUGAUGAACAAAUCGAAAAUGAUGAGUCAGCCUCAGUUAAUGAAUCAGCCUCCGGUAAUUAGUCAAUCACAAUUUCUGAGUCAGCCUCAAAUGAUGAACCAGAACUCUCAAAUGCUGAAUCAGCCUCAGUUGAUGAAUCAGAAGUCUCAGAUGUUGAAUCAGUCUCAGUUGAUGAUGAAUCAGUCGCAGUCCCAGGGGAUGAGUAAGCCGCAGAUGCUGAAUCGACGCUAUGGGAUGUGGUCUCCUCAGACUUCGAUGGACCCCAUGAAGUUUCCGAACCCUAUGAAACAGGGUUUUGUUGCUGCGAAUCCGCCAGGGCGGAGCAAUCGCAAAGGAAAGAAAGGGAAUGAGAAGUGGAAGGAUGGAAAAAGGAAAGAAAAGCAAGUUAUAGUCGGUGGCGGCAUUGGUCCUGCCGGGGUUGUCAGUGGUGGUGGAGCUGGUGGUGGAGGCUACAGACCUCCAAAACUCAAUGAGUUGCAGCAGCAGAAUCGUCUGAAGGCCCGGAAGUUCUAUCCGAAGAAGAAAUAUAAUAGGUUUGCUCCUUUUGCUCCUCGCAACACGACUUCGUUUAUAAUUAGGGCAAAGAAAUCUGGUGGGAUUGCAUCACUGGUUUCUCCUUGUCCGGUAACCCCCGCAGUACUUCCAACACCCAUUUUCUCGCCCUCGAGGGAGGUUUUGGGGGAUAUGGCGAAGGAAGAGUGGGGGGUUGAUGGGUAUGGGUCGAUGAAUGGAUUAAUUAGGCUUCGCUCGCCUGGUAAUGAUGCAGAUGUGCACGACUAUGAGGAAGAAGAGGAAGGAGGAUCGAGUGAGAGUGAUGUGGAGGAACAUGUCGAGGUGGAGAGGCGAUUGGAUCAUGAUUUGAGCCGUUUUGAGAUGAUUUACCCGAACAGUGGUGCCGGUUGUGUCGGGUACAAUAAUGUGUUGGAGAAUAGGGUGGAUGAUCAAGAUACCCAUAUAGCCCAAUUGGAAGAAGAGAAUCUGAUCUUAAAGGAGAGGCUAUUCUUGAUGGAGAGGGAGUUGGGGGAUUUGAGGAGGAGGUUGCAGAGUCUUGAGAAGCGAAACCAAGCAGUGGUGGAAAUCACUGAGGAGGUGGUAGAAAAUGUAUCUGAAAAUGAAAGUGACGGUCGAGGGGAUGUCCAUUCAACAGAGGAGAAUAAUGAGGAGGUGGUGGAAGAAAACAAUGAGCCUGGGAAGGAUGCUGAAGCAAAGGAGAAUAAUGAUGAGGCAUCUGAGACUGAGGGUGUAGCCGAUGUUUGUAUGGUAGAGUUUGCAAAUGAAUCAGAGAAAAAGUUUGCAGAGAACCAAUCUGAGGAAGGAGGAGCUGGAGAUAAAUGUUUAGAAGAGAAGAACAUUGACGAUGGUGACUUAUCUAAUUGUCCCGCGUUAAUGCUGUUUGGCAGCAUGUGAAACUACUGCUCCAGUCUAUGAUUGACUUGGUCAGCUAUUGCUCUCUUGCUCCAUCAGAAGACAUCUCAAUUAGAUGGAUUAUUGCUGCUAAAAUGAGGAAAGGUUCAAGCUUUGCAUCUGCAGAACACUACCGAUACAGAGUGAGAUGAUAAUCUGGUAGUGCUAAUUAGGGGGAAAAAUGGAGGUAUCCUGGAGCCGGCUCAGGCUUGCUCGUCAAAGCAAGGAUAAGCAGAUGUUGGCUGUUUGAGAGUGAAUAUUGUUGAAAAAAUUGUGUAUUAGCGAAUGAAAGGUAUUAUGUGAAUCUUGUAUUAGCCGAUAGUCGAAUGUAUUUUUGGUGGGUUAUGCCGAGAAAUGGCAAAUAAAGAACCCCAUGUUCUUUGUGUUGGAUGGAAACUAUGGGAAUGAAAAUUUUCAGAUGGCUGGAACUGGUGGUCUUUAGACCUUCAUAAGAAUUCAAAUUUUCUUCCA